AACUAUAACGGUCCUAAGGUAGCGAAAUUCCUUGUCAGGUAAGUUCUGACCCGCACGAAAGGCGUAACGAUUUGGGCGCUGUCUCAGCUGUAGACUCGGUGAAGUCUUAGUACCUGUGAAGAUGCAGGUUACCCGCGACUAGACGGAAAGACCCCAUGGAGCUUCACUGCAGGUUGAUAUUGGGAUUUGAUGCAGCAUGUACAGGAUAGGUAGGAGGCAAAGAGAUGGAUACGCCAGUAUUCAAGGAGCCGCUGUUGGGAUACUACCCCUGUUGUAUUGGAUUUCUAACCGGACGACGUAGAACCGUUGACGGGACAGUGUCAGUCGGGCAGUUUGACUGGGGCGGUCGCCUCCCAAAGAGUAACGGAGGCGCCCAAAGAUACCCUCAGCUUGGAUGGAAACCAAGCGCAGAGUGCAAAGGCAAAAGGGUGUUUGACUGCGAGACCCACAAGUCGAGCAGGGACGAAAGUCGGGCUUAGUGAUCCGGCGGUGCUGAAUGGAAAGGCCGUCGCUCAACGGAUAAAAGCUACCCUGGGGAUAACAGGCUGAUCUCCCCCAAGAGUCCACAUCGACGGGGAGGUUUGGCACCUCGAUGUCGGCUCAUCGCAUCCUGGGGCUGAAGUCGGUUCCAAGGGUUGGGCUGUUCGCCCAUUAAAGCGGUACGCGAGCUGGGUUCAGAACGUCGUGAGACAGUUCGGUCCCUAUCUGUCGUGGGCGCAGGAAAUUUGAGAAGAGCUGUCCUCAGUACGAGAGGACCGGGAUGGACGCAUCAAUGGUGGACCAGUUGUCACGCCAGUGGCAUAGCUGGGUAGCUAAAUGCGGAAGGGAUAAACGCUGAAGGCAUCUAAGUGUGAAACCCACUUCAAGAUGAGAUUUCCCAUUGCGCAAGCAAGUAAGACCCCUUAAAGACGAUAAGGUAGAUAGGUCAGGAGUGUAAGCAUGGUGACAUGUUAAGCGGACUGAUACUAAUAGGUCGAGGGCUUGACCGA
rnacentral:rRNA from 1 species